UACGUAGGGGGCAAGCGUUGUCCGGAAUCAUUGGGCGUAAAGCGCGUGUAGGCGGCUCGAUAAGUCUGCUGUGAAAAUCCGGGGCUCAACCCCGGACUUGCAGUGGGUACGGGCAGACUAGAGUGUGGUAGGGGAGACUGGAAUUCCUGGUGUAGCGGUGGAAUGCGCAGAUAUCAGGAGGAACACCAAUAGCGAAGGCAGCUCGCUGGGACGUUACUGACACUGAGGCGCGAAAGCGUGGGGAGCGAACAGG
rnacentral:rRNA from 1 species